AAUGGGUCAGCGACUUAUAUUCUGUAGCAAGGUUAACCGAAUAGGGGAGCCGAAGGGAAACCGAGUCUUAACUGGGCGUUAAGUUGCAGGGUAUAGACCCGAAACCCGGUGAUCUAGCCAUGGGCAGGUUGAAGGUUGGGUAACACUAACUGGAGGACCGAACCGACUAAUGUUGAAAAAUUAGCGGAUGACUUGUGGCUGGGGGUGAAAGGCCAAUCAAACCGGGAGAUAGCUGGUUCUCCCCGAAAGCUAUUUAGGUAGCGCCUCGUGAAUUCAUCUCCGGGGGUAGAGCACUGUUUCGGCAAGGGGGUCAUCCCGACUUACCAACCCGAUGCAAACUGCGAAUACCGGAGAAUGUUAUCACGGGAGACACACGGCGGGUGCUAACGUCCGUCGUGAAGAGGGAAACAACCCAGACCGCCAGCUAAGGUCCCAAAGUCAUGGUUAAGUGGGAAACGAUGUGGGAAGGCCCAGACAGCCAGGAUGUUGGCUUAGAAGCAGCCAUCAUUUAAAGAAAGCGUAAUAGCUCACUGGUCGAGUCGGCCUGCGCGGAAGAUGUAACGGGGCUAAACCAUGCACCGAAGCUGCGGCAGCGACGCUUAUGCGUUGUUGGGUAGGGGAGCGUUCUGUAAGCCUGUGAAGGUGUGCUGUGAGGCAUGCUGGAGGUAUCAGAAGUGCGAAUGCUGACAUAAGUAACGAUAAAGCGGGUGAAAAGCCCGCUCGCCGGAAGACCAAGGGUUCCUGUCCAACGUUAAUCGGGGCAGGGUGAGUCGACCCCUAAGGCGAGGCCGAAAGGCGUAGUCGAUGGGAAACAGGUUAAUAUUCCUGUACUUGGUGUUACUGCGAAGGGGGGACGGAGAAGGCUAUGUUGGCCGGGCG
rnacentral:rRNA from 1 species